rnacentral:rRNA from 1 species
CGAUGGAUACUAGAUAUAGGGGGUAUCGACCCCUCCUGUGUCGGAGCUAACCCGAUAAGUAUCCCGCCUGGGGAGUACGGCCGCAAGGCUAAAACUCAAAGGAAUUGACGGGUCCCCGCACAAGCGGCGGAGCGUGUGGUUUAAUUCGAUGAUAAGCGAAGAACCUUACCUGGGCUUGACAUGCGUCUGACAGCCCGUGAAAACGGGGUUUCCUUCGGGACAGAUGCACAGAUGUUGCAUGGCUGUCGUCAGCUCGUGCCGUGAGGUGUUGGGUUAAGUCCCGCAACGAGCGCAACCCUCGUCGUUAGUUACUAUGUCUAGCGAGACUGCUCCUAAAAGGGGAGAGGAAGGUGGGGACGAGGUCAAGUCGGCACGGCUCUUACGCCCAGGGCUACACACACGCUACAAUGGUCAGAACAGAGGGUCGCGAUGGCGCGAGCCGGAGCUAAUCCCACAAAUCUGGCCCCAGUUGGAAUUGCAGGCUGAAACUCGCCUGCAUGAACGCGGAAUCGCUAGUAAUCGCAGGUCAGCACACUG